CCGCCAUGGUACCCUGGACUGUAUGCUCUGCCAUGGCCUCCUGGACUGCCUGAUCCGCACUGGAAGUAUUCCCCGUGUCCCAGUCCUGCACCAGCCUCCAGGCCUAUGGUAAUGGGUGAUGUCAGACUUCUGUGUUUUGCUCCCCAUGUGUUUCCAUGCCCUUAUUUGGCUCUUCCUGUUCUAAUUAUGUUUGUUUCAUUAGUUCCAGGUGUGUCUCAUCAUCCGAUCCUUUAGUCCUGUGUAUUUUAUAGUGAGCCCUGUUCUAAGGCUGGUCGUCCAGUAUUGUAAAUGUCUGUGGAUGUCAACCUCUCCUGCUACGUGUGUUUUUCCUGGUUCCCUUAAAGACAUUAAAAUCUCCUGUGUUGAUGUACUCCUCGUUCCUCGCUCCCGCACCAUAGUGAAAUUUGACAGUAGGAGGAAAUGCAAAAUAUAUUGUUUGAAGUCAAAGGCCACACAUGGAAUCAAACUAUUUGGUAUUUUGGCUCAAACUGAUGUAAAUCAGUAGAUAUUUACACCAACGAGGACAGUGUGUGAGGUGUGACUCAAGCUUUAAAAACUGAAUAAAGGGAAAAUGAAAAUUUUAAAAAGAGGCCAACAUAAGGCUAUAUUUAAAUCAGAGUAAAUGAGAAGGGGACAUACUUUCACAGCUAACCGUUGUAACUGUGUAAAAUGGCUUAUUGCUUUUAGAAACCAUCUGUUUCUCUUUUACUUUGUCACAUUUCUAAAACACAAGGCUUUAAAUGGGUUUAGGCCAGAUAAUGACGGAUUCAUUUUUUUUUUUUUUGCCGUAUGGAAACUUUUUUGAGUCACACCUUUAAAAUAAUGAAAAUACAGUGAGCAAAAUGAAAAUAACUUGCAAAACCAUUAUUUUAUAUUCACCCCAGACUUGUUUUCUGAAGUCAUGACGUGUCUUCUCAUGAGUCAUCUGAAAACUCAAAGCUUCCUACACGGUCCUCUCAUAAUCAGGAAGCGAAUGUGCGCUGAGGAACAACAUGUGCAGAGCGAGAGAGAAAUGAAAUGACUGGCCUUGCCAUGGACACACGAGAGGCUCUUGUCCCAGCACUUGAAGGGCCGGGUGGGCUGUGAAUUGUGGUUAAGGGGAAAUGGUGACCGGGCAGGAUACAAUCAAGAAAAUAACAGACUUAAAGAGGGUUUGAUGCUGAAGGACACAGUCAAAGCAUUAGUGGAGCUUGACGCAUGUUAUUUAUACGCUGCUCCGUAUUGUUUUUAUUAGAGUAUGGCAUGUGACUGAGACAUCUUCAGGUCGUCCUCAUGGAAAAUCACAUACACUGUAAAAUUAGUUUUUGGCUUUUGGAAUACAUUUUACAAGAAAAUCCACCUUUUCCCUGUGUCCCAU
ensembl:lncRNA